rnacentral:rRNA from 1 species
GAUGAACGCUGGCGGCGUGCCUAAUACAUGCAAGUCGAGCGAACAGACGAGGAGCUUGCUCCUCUGACGUUAGCGGCGGACGGGUGAGUAACACGUGGAUAACCUACCUAUAAGACUGGGAUAACUUCGGGAAACCGGAGCUAAUACCGGAUAAUAUAUUGAACCGCAUGGUUCAAUAGUGAAAGACGGUUUUGCUGUCACUUAUAGAUGGAUCCACGCCGCAUUAGCUAGUUGGUAAGGUAACGGCUUACCAAGGCACCGAUGCGUGGCCGACCUGAGAGGGGGUUCGGCCACCCUGAAACUGAGACACGGUCCAGACUCCGAGGGGAGGAGGCAGUAGGGAAUCUUCCGCAAGGGGCGAAAGCCUGAGGGAGCAACGCCGCGGGAGUGAUGAAGGUCUUCGGAUCGUAAAACUCUGUUAUUAGGGAAGAACAAAUGUGUAAGUAACUAUGCACGUCUGGACGGUACCUAAUCAGAAAGCCACGGCUAACUACGU